UACGUAGGGAGCAAGCGUUGUCCGGAAUCAUUGGGCGUAAAGCGCGCGUAGGUGGCUUCGUAAGUCCGUUGUGAAAGUCAAAGGCUCAACCUUUGAAAGCCGAUGGAUACUGUGGAGCUAGAGUACGGAAGAGGCGAGUGGAAUUCCUGGUGUAGCGGUGAAAUGCGCAGAUAUCAGGAGGAACACCAACAGCGAAGGCAGAUCUCUGGGACGUGACUGACGCUGAGACGCGAAAGCGUGGGGAGCAAACAGG
rnacentral:rRNA from 1 species